rnacentral:rRNA from 1 species
AACGAACGCUGGCGGCAGGCUUAACACAUGCAAGUCGAACGCUUCGCAAGGGGCGUGGCAGACGGGUGAGUAACGCGUGGGAACGUACCCUUCGGUUCGGAAUAACUCAGGGAAACUUGGGACAAUACCGGAUACGUCCGUAAGGAGAAAGAUUUAUCGCCGAAGGAUCGGCCCGCGUUGGAUUAGCUAGUUGGCGGGGUAAUGGCCCACCAAGGCGACGAUCCAUAGCUGGUCUGAGAGGAUGAUCAGCCACACUGGGACUGAGACACGGCCCAGACUCCUACGGGAGGCGGCAGUGGGGAAUAUUGGACAAUGGGCGCAAGCCUGAUCCAGCCAUGCCGCGUGAGUGAUGAAGGCCUUAGGGUUGUAAAGCUCUUUCAGCGGGGAAGAUAAUGACGGUACCCGCAGAAGAAGCCCCGGCUAACUUCGUGCCAGCCGCCGCCGUAAGAC